rnacentral:lncRNA from 1 species
AAAUCAGCUUGAAUAAAAAUCAUGAUCUAUCUGGAAGGUUAGAAACGAUAUAAUCUUCAGGAAUAUUCUUCCGGAUCCUAGGCUAACGGUUUACAGAUUCAAACUUCUUCUGAAGGAGUGGGACUCUAUCCUCGCAACUUAACUUUUUUUUUUUUUUUUUUUUAAUCUGAUCUCUGUCAGGCUCUGUUUGCCCCACUCUUGUAGCUUAAUUUAUCUUUUCAAUGAAUGAAGCAGAUAGCGUGCUAUCUAUUUUUUUAAAAAAAUAAAAACCAUGAUCUAAAAGUUUGUUAGAUUAGAUUAAAAU